rnacentral:rRNA from 1 species
AUCUUGGGAAUGGGCGAAAGCCUGACCCAGCAACGCCGCGUGGGCGAUGAAGGCCUUCGGGUUGUAAAGCCCUUUUGCAGGGGACGAUGAUGACGGUACCUUGCGAAUAAGCCACGGCUAACUACGUGCCAGCAGCCGCGGUAAUACGUAGGUGGCGAGCGUUGUCCGGAUUUACUGGGCGUAAAGGGCGUGCAGGCGGUUUGUUAAGUCUAGGGUGAAAGCUCCCGGCUCAACUGGGAGAGGUCCUUGGAUACUGGCAGACUUGAGGAGAGUAGAGGAAAGUGGAAUUCCCGGUGUAGUGGUGAUAUGCGUAGAUAUCGGGAGGAACACCAGUGGCGAAGGCGGCUUUCUGGGCUCUACCUGACGCUGAGACGCGAAAGCGUGGGGAGCGAACCGG